UACGUAGGGUGCAAGCGUUAAUCGGAAUUACUGGGCGUAAAGCGUGCGCAGGCGGUUUUGUAAGUCUGUCGUGAAAGCCCCGGGCUCAACCUGGGAAUUGCGAUGGAGACUGCAAGGCUUGAAUCUGGCAGAGGGGGGUAGAAUUCCACGUGUAGCAGUGAAAUGCGUAGAGAUGUGGAGGAACACCGAUGGCGAAGGCAGCCCCCUGGGUCAAGAAUGACGCUCAUGCACGAAAGCGUGGGGAGCAAACAGG
rnacentral:rRNA from 1 species